UUGGAGGGCAAGUCUGGUGCCAGCAGCUGCGGUAAUUCCAGCUCCAAUAGCGUAUAUUAAAGUUGUUGCAGUUAAAAAGCUCGUAGUUGAAUUUCGGGAUCAAUGUUUCGGUCAUGCCGUUGGUAUGUACUGAUAUUAUUGAUUUCUCACCUUCUAAAGAACCGUAAUGCCAUUAAUUUGGUGUCACGGGGAAUUAGGACUGUUACCUUGAAAAAAUUAGAGUGUUUAAAGCAGGCUCACGCUUGAAUACAUUAGCAUGGAAUAAUGAAAUAGGACAUCCGAUUCUAUUUUGUUGGUUUCUAGGAUCGAUGUAAUGAUUAAUAGGGAUAGUUGGGGGCAUUAGUAUUCAAUUGUCAGAGGUGAAAUUCUUGGAUUUAUUGAAGACUAACUACUGCGAAAGCAUUUGCCAAGGAUGUUUUCAUUAAUCAAGAACGAAAGUUAGGGGAUCGAAGACGAUCAGAUACCGUCGUAGUCUUAACCAUAAACUAUGCCGACUAGGGAUCGGAUGAUGUUAAUUUUUUAAUGACUCAUUCGGCGCCUUACGGGAAAC
rnacentral:rRNA from 1 species